rnacentral:rRNA from 1 species
AUUUUUAUUUUUUACUUUAUUUUUUGUAAAAUAUUAUAAUUUUGGAGUUUGUUUGUAAAAUGUGUAAAAUUUGGUUUUAGAAGAAAAGGAGCCCCCGGGAAAACAAAAUUUAUUAAUUCGGGAGUAAAGUUUUUUUUAAACCGAAAAAAUAUUGACUGACUUUGGAUUUUUCUUUGGAACAUGUGUUGGGGAGACCCCCCCUUUAUUGUUAGUUUUAGGGGCUCGUGUAUGAUUGUUUAGUUUUUAUUUUUUUUAUAAUGCUAUUUUUUGUUUUUAUUAAAAACAGAUAUAUAUUUGGUUUAUAUUCUAAUUUUUUUCGUGUGUUACUAUUAUUAAUUUUUUGCGGAAAAGAUUUUUAUUUUUUUUUGAAGUUGGAAAAAAAAGUAAUUUUUAUUUUUAUGUUGUAAAGAAUUUAAUAAACAAAGUGGUACAAACU